UACGGAGGGUGCAAGCGUUAUCCGGAUUCACUGGGCUUAAAGGGUGCGUAGGUGGGUUUGUAAGUCAGUGGUGAAAUCUCCAAGCUUAACUUGGAAACUGCCGUUGAUACUAUAAAUCUUGAAUGUUGUGGAGGUGAGCGGAAUAUGUCAUGUAGCGGUGAAAUGCUUAGAUAUGACAUAGAACACCAAUGGCGAAGGCAGCUCACUACACAAAGAUUGACACUGAGGCACGAAAGCGUGGGGAUCAAACAGG
rnacentral:rRNA from 1 species